rnacentral:rRNA from 1 species
CCCUUAGAUGUCCUGGGUCGCACGCGCGCUACACUGACAUGUUCAACAAGCCUCCUAGUUCGACAGGAUUUGGGAAAUCUUUGAACGCAUGUCGUGAUAGGGAUAGAUCAUUGCAAUUAUUGAUCUUGAACGAGGAAUUCCUAGUAAACGCGGGUCAUCAGCUCGCAUUGAUUACGUCCCUGCCCUUUGUACACACCGCCCGUCGCUACUACCGAUUGAAUGGUUUAGUGAGACCCUCGGAUUCGUCCCAGCAGGGUGGGUCACCACCUUAUUGGUGUGCGGAGAAGACGGUCGAACUUGAUCAUUUAGAGGAAGUAAAAGUCGUAACA